UACGAUGAAGAGUUUGAUCCUGGCUCAGGAUGAACGCUAGCGGCAGGCCUAACACAUGCAAGUCGAGGGGUAGAGAUAGCUUGCUAUCUUGAGACCGGCGCACGGGUGAGUAACGCGUAUGCAAUCUACCUUAUACAGGGGAAUAGCCCAGAGAAAUUUGGAUUAAUGCCCCAUGGUUUAUUGAGAUGGCAUCAUUUUAAUAAUAAAGAUUUAUCGGUAUAAGAUGAGCAUGCGUAUCAUUAGCUAGUUGGUGUGGUAACGGCAUACCAAGGCGACGAUGAUUAGGGGUCCUGAGAGGGAGAUCCCCCACACUGGUACUGAGACACGGACCAGACUCCUACGGGAGGCAGCAGUGAGGAAUAUUGGUCAAUGGAGGCAACUCUGAACCAGCCAUGCCGCGUGCAGGAUGACGGUCCUAUGGAUUGUAAACUGCUUUUGUACAGGAAGAAACAUUACUACGUGUAGUAACUUGACGGUACUGUAAGAAUAAGGAUCGGCUAACUCCGUGCCAGCAGCCGCGGUAAUACGGAGGAUCCGAGCGUUAUCCGGAAUUAUUGGGUUUAAAGGGUUCGUAGGCGGUUAGAUAAGUCAGUGGUGAAAUUUCCUAGCUUAACUAGGGCACUGCCAUUGAUACUGUUUAACUUGAAUAGUAUGGAAGUAACUAGAAUAUGUAGUGUAGCGGUGAAAUGCUUAGAUAUUACAUGGAAUACCAAUUGCGAAGGCAGGUUACUACGUACUUAUUGACGCUGAUGAACGAAAGCGUGGGGAGCGAACAGGAUUAGAUACCCUGGUAGUCCACGCCGUAAACGAUGGAUACUAGCUGUUCGGUCUUCGGAUUGAGUGGCUAAGCGAAAGUGAUAAGUAUCCCACCUGGGGAGUACGUUCGCAAGAAUGAAACUCAAAG
rnacentral:rRNA from 1 species